rnacentral:rRNA from 1 species
GAAUUCGAUUAACGCGAAGAACCUUACCAAGGCUUGACAUGCAGGGAAAUCUCCCAGAGAUGGGAGGUCCGCAAGGGUCCUGCACAGGUGGUGCAUGGUUGUCGUCAGCUCGUGUCGUGAGAUGUUGGGUUAAGUCCCGCAACGAGCGCAACCCUCGUUCUAUGUUGCCAGCGCGUGAUGGCGGGGACUCAUAGGAGACUGCCGGGGUCAACUCGGAGGAAGGUGGGGACGACGUCAAAUCAUCAUGCCCCUUAUGUCUUGGGCUGCACACAUGCUACAAUGGCCGGUACAAAGGGCUGCUAAGCCGCGAGGUGGAGCGAAUCCCAAAAAGCCGGUCUCAGUUCGGAUUGGGGUCUGCAACUCGACCCCAUGAAGUCGGAGUUGCUAGUAAUCGCAGAUCAGCAACGCUGCGGUGAAUACGUUCCCGGGCCUUGUCACACCGAAUCACUA